UUAAGUGAAAAUCGUGACGCUCACUCUAGACGACGGGUGCCUGUCGAACACAUUUAUGCAAUGUCCCUUUUCUUUGAAUCCUGUGGACUUCACGAAACUUUGCCGAAGGGGAACAUUGUUUGUCUUGGCAGUAACGGUAAUGGUAACUCACAUUUUGGUGACUCACGUUGUACCUUUGUCCGUUCAGCACGACAGUAGUUUACAUAUCACUUCAAUUAGAAUUAACAAUGAAUCAGUUUACACUGUCGCAGUCGAUACUACAGGCUGCCUUUCAACUCGUACGAUUAACCAAAAUAAUUUUUCCACCUCCACGUCGUAUGCAGACGACAAUUAUGAGGUUUCCCACCCUACUUUAGCUAUGGAACUGAUUGUUCUUAAACGGAAGACUUUCGAUGGAUCAUAUUCAUCUCUCAAGCUGUUCAGUGAUGUUUCCCCUAUGGCAAUACGAGCCGGUGUAGUAGAACCUGUCUGAUCGGUUUCUCAACGGAAUUAGAGUAGAAAAAGGUUAAGACGAACCAAAAAACAAAAACGAACAAAAAACAACGUUAACGUGUGGCACAUGUCCAACUUGUGAGGAAAGCAUUGACACAAUGAAAAAUUUCAUUUGAGUACCAUUGCCCUUUUCAUUGGUGAUUUAAACAAUUGCUACAGUCGAACAUUAAUCGUUUCGACGCACAGCUUUCUGUGAAUAUUCGAAAAAUGGUUAAGAUUUCUAACCCAGUUCCCUUAAUCCCUUUUUCUUUUUGGCAAACUAUCUUAACUCUGGAACGAUAUUCUAGAAUGAAACGUCAAUGUAUUUUUAUUUUCUAGCAAUGAAACAAAAUUGGACAUACAAAAGUGGAACGGUG